GCUGAGGUAUGGUAUGAUGACAAAUUAUCAUUGUCCUGCAGAAAAUAAGAGGGCACCCAGAACCUCAAAAUCUGGGGAAGAGCCUCUCAAUGAACAGCAAAACCAAAAACAAAAAACCACCUGCUCUCUCUUGGUCUAGAGUUUCCAUUUCUCUCCUAAUUUCCCUGCCAUGCCUCACUAGCCUUCCCAGCUGCUGCUGUCAUCACAAAGAGGCUUGAGAAUGUGGGACACUCUGCUUCUGUGACCUCUCAGCCUAGGUGUGGAAGCUGCAGACCCAACUGAAGAUGGAGUGAAUUAGAGAGAGACAUGGAUGAAAAGAAAGGGAGAAAGAGAAAUCUCGCUCUAUUGCCCAGGCUGGAAUGCAGUGGCACGAUCUUGGCUCACCACAACCUCCACCUCCCAGGUUCAAGCAAUUCUCCUGCCUCAGCCUCCUGAGUAGUUGGGAUUACAGACUUGUGCCACCAUGCCCAGCUAAUUUUUGUAUUUUUAGUAGAGACAGGGUUUCACUAUGUUAGCCAGCCUGGUCUCUAACUCCUGAUCUUGUGAUCUGCCUGCCUCAACCUCCCAAAAUGCUGGAUUACAGGCGUGAGCCACCACACCCGGCUGGAGAAUUCUAAACAUUUACAUGACAUUACCA
rnacentral:lncRNA from 1 species